rnacentral:rRNA from 1 species
UGCUUAAUAAAAUUUAAAUUGUAUAAUUUAAACUGAAAAUUUCAGAUUUUGCUCAUAGUUGUUUUGAAUUAAGUUUAUUUAGGUUAAGUCUUUAAAAUUGUGUGCACGUGGUGAAAAAUUAGUCGUUGAAAUUUAUAUCCGUUUGAUUAUUCUAUUUUCAUUUUACAUUUAAAGUUAUGAUAUUUUAAAUGAUUUUAUAUCGUUAAGACUUGUAUUAUUUCUAAUAAGGUUAAAGAUACCUUAUUUUAGUAAGUUUGUUAUAAUAUUUGUCAUCAUGUGUGUUUGAUUAAUAUUUGUGGUAAUCUAUUAAAUAUUUAGUAUUUAAUUAUUAUUAAAUGAGUAAUUUUAAUAUGUUAUGUUAUUUCUCAAGUUUUGUCCGUCUGUUUAUUAAAAACAUUUCUAAAUUUAAGUUUAUUUAGUAAUACCUGCCCCAUGCUUUUGUAAAUGGCCG